UUCGCGUCACCACAACUAACCUCCUCCCCUCUCCCCUCGCCGCGCCGCCGCCGCCUCGGCUCGAUCCGCCCAUAUAUUUCCCACGCAUUCAUCGCGUCGUCUUCCCAUCUCUCCCAGAUCGCAACGAAUCCAAUCGAAUCCAAUCCGAAUUCCCCCCCAUCUCUCCUCUCCUCCUCCAAAACCCUAACCCCCACUCCCCAUCGGAGAGAGAUCGAGAGGUGGUUGUCAUGGCGGAGUGCUCCUCCUCCGACGACUGGGUCAUGCUCGACUCCGACAACCCCGCCGACUCCUCCUCCGACGACGACUACGUCCUCGCGCUCUCUUCCUCCUGCAACACUCCCGCCUGCUCCGACGAAGAGGAGGAGGACGACGAGGUGGGGAGCGACGCUGACGGCGACGACCUCUACGGCGGAGAACUCGAGGAGGAGGACUCGCCGCGCCCGCCGCCGCCGAGGCCGCUCUCGGGCCUCUUCUACCACACCGCCUCCGACAACCAGCCCGGGUACCUCGCCUUCGACGCCAUCCGCAGCGCCAAGCACCUCAUCCCCGACCCGCGCUUCUCCGCCUUACCGGAGCACGUCGCCGUCCUCGCCUCCACCCGCGGCCUCGUCUGCCUCCGCGGCGAGACCACCGGCUCCUACUACGUCGCCAACCCGGCCACCUUCAGGCGGGUGCGCCUCCCUCGCCACACCCGCGACCACGUCGACCCCGCCGUCGUCAUCACCUUCGAGGAGCCCACCGCCUCCGCCUCCUGCUUCGGCGGCAUCGGCGUCGAGCACUACCACGUCGUCGUCGCCUUCAACCUCGGGGGCGGCGUCUGGUCCUUCGAGUCCUUCUCCUCCAGGACAUGGAAGUGGCGUGUCUCCCCCGGGAUCUCCAUCGUCGAGCAGGUCGAGUCCUUCUCAGGUGUCGGCGCCCACGGCCGCGCCUUCUGGCGCACCUCCAUCGGCUUCGUCUACUACGACCCGGAGAAGGGCUACCCCCACGAGUUCGCCGCGCCGCCCGAGGUGGAGGCCCGGCCGUUCUGGGAGAUCGGCGAGAUGGAGGGCAACCUCUGCGUCACCUGCAUGGACCAGCGCGUCACCGAGGUGGCGGUGCUCAACCUCGACAUGGACGUCCUCGCCGCCGAUGGGGUCGGGUCGUGGUCGUGGGCCGGCCAGUUCGAGGGCAGCAGCCUCAGGAACCGCGAGGGCGUCGAGCUGCUCCGCUCGCAGGGCAUGGCGGAGGUCGUCAUGUGGGACCCCUCGGAGGAGCGCGUCGUCGCCAUGGACCUCGAAGGCCGCACCACCCGCAACAUCGGCCCGCUCACAGGCGAGGACUACUCGAGAGGUUUCAUCCCCUACGUUGCCUCAAUCGCCGAAAUCUCCAGUUGUGUGCUCUGCUUAUGUUUAUGUUGUCAGCGAUCAAAUAAGUUCAAAGUGCUCUGCUAGUGCUGCUGAUGCCAACACGCCCAAUCUUGGAGCAGCAGAUGCGACCACGCUCAACAACCUCGCCGCACCUGCUGCGCAAGUUCACUGAAGCUUCAACUAAUCUGUACCAAUAGCUAGCAGGCAGACAGGAAGAUUCGUUGACGAUGACCAGGAAUAAACGAGGCUAGCUUUCAGAUUGAUUUGUCCAGCAUAAAAAGGAAAGCGAAAAGGCAUCCUUGAUUGAGUGGCAACUGGACUACUACUGCCAUAAGCAUUCUUUUUGCAGCUACUCCGUAUCGGAUAUGAACACUAAGUAUCUUUCUUGUUAGGUUUUGCGUCUGCCUUGUAAAUAUUAGCAGUAGCAGGCUCCCUUUUGUGUCCGUCCGUCGAACUAUCAUUGAGUCCUUCUUGAGUUGCAUUCAGUCAGUCAGUCAGUCAGUCAGGUCCAAACUAGUUGAUCGAGUGGGUAAACUUUGAAACUACCACCGUCUCUGGUGUUCCUGAUAUGUCAUUCUGGCUGGGCUAUGCAAUUAUUUCUUUUGCUUAACCCAUUCAUUCAUUUUUAGUAUUUCCUUUUUGUUAUUCCGGUUGUUUCUUUGCUGUUUGGAAUCAACCACCCAGCAAUUUUUGCUUUCCUGGGUUAUGACUUCUUUUCACUAGGAAUAGGAAUUACCAUUUUGUUGUACAGCGCUUUGUUCCAUCUUCCAUGGACUGUUGUUUGCUUUGUUCCA